GACGAACGCUGGCGGCGUGCCUAAUACAUGCAAGUUGAGCGCUGAAGGUUGGUACUUGUACCAACUGGAUGAGCAGCGAACGGGUGAGUAACGCGUGGGGAAUCUGCCUUUGAGCGGGGGACAACAUUUGGAAACGAAUGCUAAUACCGCAUAAAAACUUUAAACACAAGUUUUAAGUUUGAAAGAUGCAAUUGCAUCACUCAAAGAUGAUCCCGCGUUGUAUUAGCUAGUUGGUGAGGUAAAGGCUCACCAAGGCGAUGAUACAUAGCCGACCUGAGAGGGUGAUCGGCCACAUUGGGACUGAGACACGGCCCAAACUCCUACGGGAGGCAGCAGUAGGGAAUCUUCGGCAAUGGACGAAAGUCUGACAGAGCAACGCCGCGUGAGUGAAGAAGGUUUUCGGAUCGUAAAACUAUGUUGGUAGAGAAGAACGUUGGUGAGAGUGGAAAGCUCAUCAAGUGACGGUAACUACCCAGAAAGGGACGGCUAACUACGUG
rnacentral:rRNA from 1 species